CUUUUUCGCCCCGCCCUUCAAAUGCGAAAGCGACUACCUUCUUGUAACACUCAAAACUAGCAUCUGAUGAAUGCCUACAUUCAGUCCACAAAGCAACAAUGGUCCUAUUUUUCCCUCCACUUUAAUCACUCUUCUAAAAACUAAGCCAGUUCCUUCAAAUUUAACAUGUGAUGAUUAAAAAGAAAUGGUUGGGUUCCAUUCCAAGAUAGCUGAAUAGGAACAGCUCUGGUCUGCAGCUCCCAGAGUGACUGAUGCAGAAGACAGGUGAUUUCUGCAUUUCCAACUGAGGUACCUGAUUCAUCUCACUGGGACUGGUUGGACAGUGGGUACAGCCCACGGAGGGCAAGCUGAAGCACAGCAGGGUGUCGCCUCACCCAGGAAGCGCAAUGGGUCGGGGUAUUUUCCUUUCCUAGCCAAAGGAAGCUGUGACAGACUGUAUAUGGAAAAUCGGUACACACUUGCCCAAAUACUGUGCUUUUCCCACAGUCUUAGCAAAUGGCAGACAAGGAGACUGCUCUCCCAUGCCUGGCUCAGCGGGUCCCAUGCCCGGCUCAGCGGGUCCCAUGCCCAUGCAGCCUUACUCACUGCUAGCGCAGUCGGAGAUCAACCAGCGAGGCUGCAGCCUGGUGGGGGGAGGGGCAUCUACCAUUGCUGGGGCUUAAGUAGGUAAACAAAGCAGUCAGAAAGCUUGAAAUGGGUGGAGUCCACCACACCUCAAGCAAGGCCUACUAUCUCUAUACACUCCACC